CAUGGCCGGGCAGGAAGAGCAGGGUCCCGCCUUCAGGUGUUUGGGACUCAGCUGAGGGUGUGGGUGCCCCGCGGUGGGGGCUGAACCUUCCUGGGGUGUGGAGAGACGAAAGGAGCCCAGAUCCAAGUUCCCUCGUUCCCGCUUUGGCACAAGUUGCCCUGGCGGUCUCAUGAGAGAGAGAGAGAGCUGGGACCCUCCUCGCCCCAUGUAACAUCAGACAAGGGUGUUGACUCUGCAGCACAGAACCAGUAGUUUGUGGAGAAGAAUGAGGUGUGGUGUUGAAUCUGCUAGACAGGCUACUGAAGCAAAAGUCAAGAGAUCCAGAUCCCAUCAUGGGGACACUUUAG
rnacentral:lncRNA from 1 species